rnacentral:rRNA from 1 species
AGAGUUUGAUCCUGGCUCAGGAUGAACGCUGGCGGCGUGCCUAACACAUGCAAGUCGAGCGAAGAUAGAGACGAGUAUUCGUACAAAUUUUUAUCUUAGCGGCGGACGGGUGAGUAACACGUGAGUAACCUGCCUUUCACUGGGGAAUAACAUCGAGAAAUCGGUGCUAAUACCGCAUAAUGUCACGAGACCGCAUGGUUUUGUGACCAAAGGAGUAAUCCGGUGAUAGAUGGACUCGCGUCCGAUUAGAUAGUUGGUGAGGUAACGGCCCACCAAGUCUACGAUCGGUAGCCGAACUGAGAGGUUGAUCGGCCACAUUGGGACUGAGACACGGCCCAGACUCCUACGGGAGGCAGCAGUGGGGAAUAUUGGGCAAUGGGCGAAAGCCUGACCCAGCAACGCCGCGUGAAGGAAGAAGGUCUUCGGAUUGUAAACUUCUUUGAUCAGGGACGAAUAAAUGACGGUACCUGAAGAACAAGCCACGGCUAACUACGUGCCAGCAGCCGCGGUAAUA